AUUGAACGCUGGCGGCAUGCUUUACACAUGCAAGUCGAACGGUAACAGGCCGCAAGGUGCUGACGAGUGGCGAACGGGUGAGUAAUGCAUCGGAACGUGCCCAGUCGUGGGGGAUAACUGCUCGAAAGAGCAGCUAAUACCGCAUACGAUCUAUGGAUGAAAGAGGGGGACCGUCAGGCCUGGCGCGAUUGGAGCGGCCGAUGUCAGAUUAGGUAGUUGGUGGGGUAAAGGCUCACCAAGCCAACGAUCUGUAGCUGGUCUGAGAGGACGACCAGCCACACUGGGACUGAGACACGGCCCAGACUCCUACGGGAGGCAGCAGUGGGGAAUUUUGGACAAUGGGGGCAACCCUGAUCCAGCAAUGCCGCGUGCAGGAAGAAGGCCUUCGGGUUGUAAACUGCUUUUGUACGGAACGAAACGGUCUGGGUUAAUACCCUGGGCUAAUGACGGUACCGUAAGAAUAAGCACCGGCUAACUACGUGCCAGCCGCCGCGGUAACAC
rnacentral:rRNA from 1 species